CACGUAGGGCGCGAGCGUGUCCGGAAUUAUUGGGCGUAAAGAGCUCGUAGGCGGCCUGUUGCGUCCGCUGUGAAAGCCCGGGGCUUAACCCCGGGUCGGCAGUGGAUACGGGCAGGCUAGAGGUAGGUAGGGGAGAAUGGAAUUCCCGGUGUAGCGGUGAAAUGCGCAGAUAUCGGGAGGAACACCGGUGGCGAAGGCGGUUCUCUGGGCCUUACCUGACGCUGAGGAGCGAAAGCGUGGGGAGCGAACAGG
rnacentral:rRNA from 1 species